UGCCAGCCGCCGCGGUAAUACGUAAGUCCCAAGCGUUACCCGGAAUUAUUGGGUGUAAAGGGUCCGUAGGCGGGCUUAUAAGUCAGGUAUGAAAGACCGGAGCUCAACUCCGUGUUUGUGCUUGAAACUGUAAGUCUAGAAUCAGGGAGAGGUUAGCGGAAUUCUUAGUGUAGGGGUGCAAUCCGUAGAUACUAAGAAGAACACCAAAAGCGAAGGCAGCUAACUGGAACUCGAUUGACGCUGAGGGACGAAAGCGUGGGGAGCGAAGAGGAUUAGAUA
rnacentral:rRNA from 1 species